rnacentral:rRNA from 1 species
UACAGAGGGUGCUAGCGUUGUUCGGAAUCAUUGGGCGUAAAGGGCGUGUAGGCGGUUUGUCGCGUCUGCCGUGAAAAUCCGGGGCUCAACCCCGGACUUGCGGUGGGUACGGGCAGACUAGAGUGUGGUAGGGGAGACUGGAAUUCCUGGUGUAGCGGUGAAAUGCGCAGAUAUCAGGAGGAACACCGAUGGCGAAGGCAGGUCUCUGGGCCACUACUGACGCUGAGAAGCGAAAGCGUGGGGAGCGAACAGG